CACAGCUGGUGCAUAGGGAAUAAAUGACUGGAUGAAGGUUUGCAAUGCCAUGCCCUCCUCUGACAUGGGGAUUUCAGCUGUUUAUGGGAUCGUGUUGGGACCCUUCAUCAACAGACAUUACUACAAAAAUUGUUGAAAAUGGCUCCAGGAACUGGUUGCAAAUUGUUGGGAAGAGAUGCUGGCCUCUAAUGACUCUCUAGCUCCUCACUUUCUAAUGCUGGAGAACUGGUGAGGACAUGCUCUCUCUGACUGAAAGUGCUAUACCAGAUAUCACGGACACAUCAGCCAGUUGAUGGGGCUUAGACAAAGAGGUUCACAGGGGAAGGCUAGAAGAAAACUUGGCAUCCUCUUGAAAAUCACUGAAGUAACCAAAACUUAAAAACCAAAGCCUUUUAUUUUUAUUUAUUUUUGGGUAGGUAUUAUUAAGCUAUUCUUCUUGGUUUAUUGCACUCACACAGUAAGUCUAUUAAUCUCAUGCUGAUUUUGUUUAAAGUCCAAACCUCAGAAGGACAAAACCUCCAUUAUGUGUUCAGUUCAUAUACAACAUACUGCUCAGUGUGAUCCAUGUGCUUUCUCUCUCAAACAAACUUUCCUCUUCUGAACUUCAAUUUGAAAAGCAUAGAUCCAGGUGAAAAAGCGAUCGACAAAAAUCUAUGCUGAAAUACAAUCUGUCAACCAAAGGUACUUGCAGAGAACUAUCCCAAGGAUAUCCAAGGGUGUUUAAUCUAAAGAACAGCUUUUGGAUUAAAUGAAUGUUCUCAGUCAUAACUGGCAACGGAAUAGACACGAAACAUCAAUAAUAUCUAAUGAACUAAUGAAGGGAAAACAGCACAAAAUAAAUGUUGUUUCUGUGGACACCCCAGGUACCUAAAUCACAAUCUUUGUCAUUUGACUCAAUCUGCUAGAGAAAUGCAUGGAGAAAUUUCAGACAUGAAACAACAGUGAAAUAAAGAAAAAUAAGUAAUCAUAAGAGACAGCUGGGUUUAUCAACUUGAAAAUCCACUUAGAGAGGCCUGGUAACACAUGAGACAGGGGGGAAAGCUGUCAAAUCUGGUGCUGUUUGGGUCAUUGUGAUUAUGUGGAGUAGUGAGUUGAGCAUCAAAACUUGUCUUUUUAAUGCUGCAGUGUCAUAAAUGUCAAACUGAUGUAACUAUUUAAGUCAGUGACUGAUGUACUUCAUACAGAAAUGAAUAUUAACUGCUGAAUGUCGCCAAUGAAGCAUCUGGUCUUUUUUUCAAAAUAUUCCAUUCCAUUCCAUGUAGAUUUUGUCUUUUUCCCCUGCAGCUUACUUCUUUUUUCCUGAAGUCCGAAGAAGAAUAACUGGUUGUUUCAGUAUAAAAGAGAAAGAGUUCUUAGUUAGUGAAGCAUCCAAGCUAGAAAUUUAGUCUGA